rnacentral:tRNA from 1 species
GGGGCUUUGGCUCAGUGGUACAGCUUCUGUUUGGCAGGCGAAAAGCCCCAGGUUCGAUCUCUGGCAUCUCCA